rnacentral:rRNA from 1 species
UACGUAGGGUGCGAGCGUUGUCCGGAAUUACUGGGCGUAAAGAGCUCGUAGGCGGUGUGUCGCGUCGGCCGUGAAAACCUGGGGCUUAACUCUGGGCGUGCGGUCGAUACGGGCAUCACUAGAGUUCGGCAGGGAGGACUGGAAUUCCUGGUGUAGCGGUGAAAUGCGCAGAUAUCAGGAGGAACACCAGUGGCGAAGGCGGGUCU